CAGGGAUAUCCUGCAGCAGCCUUUCAGGUUAGCUCUUGGAGGCAAAAUACCGGUCCCCGUCCAGCACUGUAGUACCUCCUGCACCUCACAAUUCCAGGCAUAUGGAUUUAAGCCUGGAGUCCUGGAUCUGCAGCUAGCGUCCCACCUAGAUUGCUCACCUUGUCCCAGAUGACCACAGGGGAGGGGGAAGAGUGAGGGCAGAGGGCGUUCACUGUUGAAGACGAAACAGACAUGAGGGAAGGUCAGUGCAGUCACAAGAAGAAAGGCUACAAGAUUCCAAAUCUGGGGAGAGAAGACUGGCCAUGCGGGGACCAAACAUGGGCAGGGAUCACGUGCACUUUGAGUGUGACUCAGCCAGCCGAGGGCUGACUCAUCUGGAGGCGUCUUCCCCACACGUGUGAUCAAUGACUGUGCCAACCUGGGGCUGUCAACUGGACACCUACAUGUGGCCUUACAGAGUGGUCUAUGGAUUCUGAAAGGCUGCAUCUCCAGAGCAAGAGGAAAAGCUCUGAUUUUCUUACCAAGGCAAGUGUCAAGAAGUAGAGCUCUUGUGAUCUU